UACGUAGGGACCAAGCGUUGUUCGGAUUUACUGGGCGUAAAGGGCGCGUAGGCGGCUUAACAAGUCACUUGUGAAAUCUCCGGGCUUAACUCGGAACGGCCAAGUGAAACUGUCAAGCUAGAGUGCAGAAGGGGCAAUCGGAAUUCUUGGUGUAGCGGUGAAAUGCGUAGAUAUCAAGAGGAACACCUGAGGUGAAGACGGGUUGCUGGGCCGAUACUGACGCUGAGGAGCGAAAGCGUGGGGAGCGAACAGG
rnacentral:rRNA from 1 species